GGAGUUUGGUCCGUGUCUCAGUACCAAUGUGGGGGACCUUCCUCUCAGAACCCCUACUGAUCGUCGGCUAGGUGGGCCGUUACCCCGCCUACUACCUAAUCAGACGCAUCCCCAUCCCAUAGCGAUUAAUCUUUGGUAUUGCUCAGAUGUCCUCAUAAUACAACAUAGGGCAUUAAUCCGACUUUCGCCGGGCUAUUCCCUACUAUGGGGAAGGUUGGAUACGCGUUACUCACCCGUGCGCCGGUCGACGCCUAUCGAAAGCAAGCUUUCAAUAUCGUUUCCCCUUCGACUUGCAUGUGUUAAGCCUGUAGCUAGCGUUCAUC
rnacentral:rRNA from 1 species